rnacentral:rRNA from 1 species
AACGUAGGUGGCGAGCGUUAUCCGGAAUUACUGGGCGUAAAGCGCGUGUAGGCGGCUUUGCAAGUCGGGUGUGAAAGCCCUCAGCUCAACUGAGGAAGUGCGCCCGAAACUGCAGAGCUUGAGUGCCGGAGAGGGAUGCGGAAUUCCAGGUGUAGCGGUGAAAUGCGUAGAUAUCUGGAGGAACACCGGUGGCGAAGGCGGCAUCCUGGACCGGCAUUGACGCUGAGGCGCGAAAGCCAGGGGAGCAAACGGG